rnacentral:lncRNA from 1 species
UGGGCAAUAAUAUAUAUAUAUAUUUUUGGAGACAGAGUCUCGCUUUGUCACCCAGGUUGGAGUGCAGUGGCACGAUCUCCGCUCACUGUAACCUCCACCUCUCAGGUUCAAGCAAUUCUCCUGCCUCAGCCUCCUGAGUAGCUGGGAUUACAGGUGCGCGCCACCACACCUGGCUAAUUUUUGUAUUUUUAGUAGAGAUGGGGUUUCGCCAUGUUGGUCAGGCUGGUCUUGAACUC